ACCGGACAAUAGCAAUAAAUAACAGCAACAGGCAUCCUCUGGAAGACUCGUCACCGAGCAGGGCAGCAAAAAAAAAAAAAAAAAAGAAGGGUUUGCCCAGAGG